rnacentral:rRNA from 1 species
GACGAACGCUGGCGGCGUGCCUAAUACAUGCAAGUAGAACGCUGAAGAGAGGAGCUUGCUCUUCUUGGAUGAGUUGCGAACGGGUGAGUAACGCGUAGGUAACCUGCCUUUUAUCGGGGGAUAACUAUUGGAAACGAUAGCUAAUACCGCAUAACAAUGGAUGACACAUGUCAUUUAUUUGAAAGGGGCAAUUGCUCCACUACAAGAUGGACCUGCGUUGGAAUAGGUAGUAGGUGAGGUAAUGGCUCACCUAGGCGGCGGUACAUAGCCGACCUGAGAGGGUGGUCGGGCCACACGGGAACGGGGAAACGGCCAGGAUUCUUACGGGGGGAGCAGUAGGGGAUCAUCGGCAAUGGGGGCAAACCUGGACGAGGCAAGCCGCGUGAGUGAAGGAGGUUUUCGGAGCGUAAAGCUCUGUUGGAAGUCAAGGAAGAGUGGGAGAGUGGAAAGUUCACGCUGUGACGGUAGCUAACGAGAAAGGGACGGCUAACUACGUG